GGUACUACCGAUUGAAUGGUUUAGUGAGGACUCCUGAUUGGCGCCGCCGCCCCGGCAACGGAGCAGCGGACUGCCGAAAAGUUGUUCAAACUUGAUCAUUUAGAGGAAGUAAAAGUCGUAACAAGGUUUCCGUAGGUGAACCUGCAGAAGGAUCAAGAUCUGAAGAGCGUCGUGUAGGGAAUACGUGUAGAUCUCGUUUGUCGCCGUAUCAUUUAAAAAUAUAACUCCUUAUCUAUUCACUGUUCUCUCAUUUUUAUGUUUUUUUAUUUAUCCACCU
rnacentral:misc_RNA from 1 species